rnacentral:rRNA from 1 species
CAGCCGCCACGGGAAUACAGAGGGUGCAAGCGUUAAUCGGAAUUACUGGGCGUAAAGCGCGCGUAGGUGGUUCGCCAAGUUGGAUGUGAAAUCCCCGGGCUCAACCUGGGAAUUGCAGUGGAUACUGGGUCACUAGAGUGUGGUAGAGGAUAGUGGAAUUUCCGGUGUAGCAGUGAAAUGCGUAGAGAUCGGGAGGAACAUCAGUGGCGAAGGCGGCCAUCUGGGACAACACUGACGCUGAGGCACGAAAGCGUGGGGAGCAAACAGGAUUAGAGACCCGCGUAGUCCCUGUCUCUUAUAC